rnacentral:rRNA from 1 species
UGAGGAAUAUUGGUCAAUGGGCGGAAGCCUGAACCAGCCAAGUCGCGUGAGGGAUGACGGUCCUAUGGAUUGUAAACCUCUUUUGUCGGGGAGCAAAGCGCGGUACGUGUACCGCGAAGGAGAGUACCCGAAGAAAAAGCAUCGGCUAACUCCGUGCCAGCAGCCGCGGUAAUACGGAGGAUGCGAGCGUUAUCCGGAUUUAUUGGGUUUAAAGGGUGCGUAGGCGGGCUGAUAAGUCAGCGGUAAAAAUUCGGGGCUCAACCCCGUAGUGCCGUUGAAACUGUCGGUCUUGAGUGAGCGAGAAGUAUGCGGAAUGCGUGGUGUAGCGGUGAAAUGCAUAGAUAUCACGCAGAACUCCGAUUGCGAAGGCAGCAUACCGGCGCUCAACUGACGCUGAGGCACGAAAGCGUGGGGAUCGAACAGG